rnacentral:rRNA from 1 species
CAGCCGCCGCGGUAAUACAGAGGGUGCAAGCGUUAAUCGGAAUUACUGGGCGUAAAGCGCGCGUAGGUGGUUCGCCAAGUUGGAUGUGAAAUCCCCGGGCUCAACCCCGGAACUGCCUUUGAAACUAGGUGACUAGAAUCUUGGAGAGGUCAGUGGAAUUCCGAGUGUAGAGGUGAGAUUCAUAGAUAUUCGGAAGAACACCAGUGGCGAAGGCGACUGACUGGACAAGUAUUGACGCUGAGGUGCGAAAGCGUGGGGAGCAAACAGGAUUAGAUACCCGCGUAGUCCCUGUCUCUUAUAC